GAAACGCGAUAGGUAAUGUGAAUUGCAGAAUUCCGUGAAUCAUCGAAUCUUUGAACGCACAUUGCGCCUUCUGGUAUUCCGGUAGGCAUAUCUGUUUGAGCGUCAGCAAAAACCUCUCAGCAUAUUAUUAUGUUGGUAAUGGGCGUCGGUGGUGAUCCACCCGCUUUAAACCUGCUGCACGACCGCAAGCUACUGCUAGGUUUCAUGAAGUUGGUGUUUACAUUUUUUCAUAACUUGGCUGUUGGCGAGCGGCGUUAAACCCGAUGUCCACUCCUUAACAAAGAGGGGACUGAAGUUUGACCUCAAAUCAGAUAAGGAUACCCGCUGAACUUAA
rnacentral:misc_RNA from 1 species